rnacentral:rRNA from 1 species
AUUGAACGCUGGCGGAAUGCUUUACACAUGCAAGUCGAACGGUAGAGGGGGCAACCCCUCGAGAGUGGCGAACGGGUGAGUAAUAUAUCGGAACGUGCCCAGUCGUGGGGGAUAACGUAGCGAAAGUUACGCUAAUACCGCAUACGAUCUAAGGAUGAAAGCGGGGGAUCGCAAGACCUCGCGCGAUUGGAGCGGCCGAUAUCAGAUUAGGUAGUUGGUGGGGUAAAGGCUCACCAAGCCGACGAUCUGAAGCUGGUCUGAGAGGACGACCAGCCACACUGGAACUGAGACACGGUCCAGACUCCUACGGGAGGCAGCAGUGGGGAAUUUUGGACAAUGGACGCAAGUCUAAUCCAGCCAUUCCGCGUGCAGGAUGAAGGCCCUCGGGUUGUAAACUGCUUUUGUACGGAACGAAAAGGUCUCUCUUAAUACGGGGGGCUCAUGACGGUACCGUAAGAAUAAGCACCGGCUAACUACGUGCCAGCAGCCGCCGUAA